rnacentral:rRNA from 1 species
UCGCUGACGAGUGGCGGACGGGUGAGUAAUGUCUGGGAAACUGCCUGAUGGAGGGGGAUAACUACUGGAAACGGUAGCUAAUACCGCAUAAUCUCUCAGGAGCAAAGCAGGGGAACUUCGGUCCUUGCGCUAUCGGAUGAACCCAUAUGGGAUUAGCUAGUUGGUGAGGUAAUGGCUCACCAAGGCGACGAUCCCUAGCUGGUCUGAGAGGAUGACCAGCCACACUGGAACUGAGACACGGUCCAGACUCC